rnacentral:tRNA from 1 species
UGUGGCCUAAUGGACAAGGCGUCUGACCUUGAAUCAGAAGGUUGAGGGUUCAAGUCCCUUCA